UUUCCUCCAUUGCUCAGUCCAUAUCGUUUACUUGAACAUGUAUGAUGGCUCAUAUCGAAGCUGAUACAUUUAUACAUGUCUGGUUAAAUUUUCGGGGUGGCAAGUGAGAUUACUUUUUUCGCAAAUUGCUGGACCCCGGAAGAUGGUGAAAAAUGUCACUCUCCACAUGAAAUAAUCCCAAAAUUUUGAUCAUAAAACUCUAUAAAAAAAUUGUCCUUCCUAAUAAUUUAUUUCAGGUCAAAUCUACAUAUUUCUUUUCUCAUCACAUCAGCUCUAUAAAACAGUUCUUAUUGUUCAUUAAUGUCCAUUUUUAAAAUCACAGCAUCCACAAUUGUAUGGCGGACUAAUAUUGUUUUUUAAUUACGUCAUCUGAGUUCCUCAUCUCAAGGUCU
rnacentral:lncRNA from 1 species